rnacentral:tRNA from 1 species
GAAAAAGUAUGCAAGAACUGCUAAUUCUAUGCCCCCGUGCUUAACAACGCGGCUUUUUCG